rnacentral:lncRNA from 1 species
GUGCAUUUUAUGCACUUAUUCGGACUACAUAAUUAGGUUUUUAUGUCGUCAAAUUAUCAAUUUUUACCUAACUUGUGUUAAUUUUUUUUUGUUUUUAGUUAUGGACCUGUUUUGAAGCAAUUGGAAAAGAAAAUAAUCAAUUGGCUAUUACAUUGAGUUUGUGGACAAAAUCUCGCGGAAUAAAAGAUGGAGGAUCAAAAUUGAGGAGAAAAUGAAGAGAAAGACUAACUUGCAUUACACGAAAGAAUUGAGUACACAAAACUUAUUGGACUUGGGCUUCUAGUUUGUAUAUAGAAUAAGGGCUUUAUUGUUGAGGUAUAUGUACACUUGCAGCCGAGAAAAGCUGGGGGUAGACAAAAUUCAUAAACACAUAGACAGAAAAUGGUGAGGAGGAGGGUGCCGUGGGAGAAAAUUGAAAUCCCUUCUGGGGAUUAAAUAUACAGCAAGCGGAGGCUGGUGGGCGGAAAAAAAAUAAUAUAUAGACAGGGACUUUGGGGCAAUUAAAAGGAACAGAAAGCAAGCUGGUUUUGGACUCUUUAAUUGGCAGAUUUAGUGGCAGAAAAAAAGAGAAUUGCUGGGGCUGAAUUGAGUAUAUUCCACGGCAGAAAGUCGGCUACAGCUUGGGGUCGAAUUGGAAUUAAAAAGACAUUGGACGGUUGCACUUAAAUAUAUAUACACAGAGCCCGAGCCAAGCAGAUUAGGACCCGGGAAUUGAGUGCUGAAUUACUAAAAUAAAUCAGCUGCUGGGAAUUAAUUGUUGGGUUGAAAAGUGAUUUGAAUUAUAUAUUUGUAUAUCCACCAGAAGCCGAAGCAAGGAAGAGGAUUGGAGUCCCUUUUCUUUAGUCAAAUUGCGCAGUUGCAAGAUGGAAUUAUAUUGCUACAUUCACAGAGAACCAAGGCACAACAAGGUUGGAAAUUAGAAUUAUAUACAGCAGCUGGAGAGACAUUCACGAGACGGUGAAAGACGGCACACGCAAUUGGAAUAAAUCACGUUCCAUCAAUUAUUGGUGAUGUCGUUCCACUUCUCUUUGUUUAAUUUUAACAUUAUGCUCGGCUAGAUUAUUUUGUGCUAGGAUUUGCGAUGAACCCUACAUUAUGAACCCUUAGUCUUGAAUGUUAUUUAUUUGACGUUAAAUUA